UACGAAGGAGUUUUUGUAAACCCCUUGGUUAAAACUCUCCUCAUGAACGUGUACACGUUCAACAAUCCUUUCAGCGCCGAGAUAGGUCACGUAGUAUUGAGCUGCUUCGCGGGCAUUUGGAUGUGUCCUACCUUUUAUGUCCUCGACCCAACCAACCAAUCAGAAGAUUAUAAUAAUGGCAAAUUUUCCAGCUUUUUACACUCAAAACGUAAUGUAGCCAAUUGCCACAUCUUUUUCCUCACAGAAAUCCAAGUAUAUUUUGGAAUUUCCCAAAAAAUAAGACUCAAUCAAUCAUCUAAUAUAAGCAGAGCCUAG